GACUCAGUAGCCUAAUGGACAAGGCGUUGCUCUCUCGAAGCCCUUGGCUUUGCAGACGCAAACUAUGGUGGCUCGAGUCCACCCUGAGUCG
rnacentral:tRNA from 1 species